rnacentral:rRNA from 1 species
CGCGCAGGCGGUUCGGUAAGUCGGUCUUAAAAGUGCGGGGCUUAACCCCGUGAUGGGAUUGAAACUGCCGGACUGGAGUGUCGGAGAGGAAAGCAGAAUUCCUAGUGUAGCGGUGAAAUGCGUAGAUAUUAGGAGGAAUGCCAGUGGCGAAAGCGGCUUUCUGGACGACAACUGACGCUGAGGCGCGAAAGCCAGGGGAGCAAACG